rnacentral:rRNA from 1 species
ACCAGGACUCCUACGGGAGGCAGCAGUGGGGAAUAUUGCGCAAUGGGCGAAAGCCUGACGCAGCGACGCCGCGUGAGGGAUGAAGGUCUUCGGAUCGUAAACCUCCGUCAGCAGGGAAGAACGGUCACUGUGCUAAUCAGCAGUGAAUUGACGGUACCUGAGUAAGAAGCCCCGGCUAACUACGUGCCAGCAGCCGCGGUAAUACGUAGGGGGCAAGCGUUAUCCGGAAUUACUGGGUGUAAAGGGAGCGUAGACGGCAAUGCAAGUUCGGAGUGGAAUGCAUCAGCUCAACUGAUGAACUGCUCUGAAAACUGUAUAGCUAGAGUGCAGGAGGGGUAAGCGGAAUUCCUGGUGUAGCGGUGAAAUGCGUAGAUAUCAGGAGGAACACUGGUGGCGAAGGCGGCUUACUGGACUGUAACUGACGUUGAGGCUCGAAAGCGUGGGGAGCAAACAGGAUUAGAUACCCGAGUAC